rnacentral:lncRNA from 1 species
AAAUAUUGAAAGAAUUUAUUCCUAAAAAAACCAUACCAUUUUUGGAUAAUAUACCUAUAAAGGAAGAUAAAAAAGAAGAUAAGGAUGAGUGUAGAAUAAGUAGUUAUUUUCAGAAUGUAGAUACCUAGUGUAUAGUGUAAACAAAGAUAGAUAACUGCUGAAAAGGUGGUUCAGUAGGUAGAAUGGAUGAAUAGUCAGGAAAAGUAGUUAUCAUCUGUAGUAUAGGAGUUGGUAUCUUGGGGUAAUAUAAGGAAGAUGGGAGAGGGGAAGAAAAUGCCAGACUAUGAGAGUUGUGAGCCGGGGUAAGCUUGGUGCUACCUCUUUUCUUUUGUUUGUUAUUUUCUUUGAAUAAGAGGAUUGAAAGUUUUUGAAUAUUGUGAAGUGAAUUAUGGAAUGGAAAUGUGAUUGGUAUUAUUUGAGAAGAAGAAAGAUUGAAUGUUGAAAUCUAAUUGUAGUU